UCCUUAGAUGUCCUGGGCCGCACGCGUGCUACACUGACACUUGCAACGAGUACUUUGCUUUACCGAAAGGUAAUGCUAAUCAUCAAUAAGUGUCGUGAUGGGGAUAGAUCUUUGGAAUUAUGGAUCUUGAACGAGGAAUGCCUAGUAAGCGUAGGUCAUUAGCCUACGCUGAUUAAGUCCCUGCCCUUUGUACACACCGCCCGUCGCUCCUACCGAUUUCGAGUGGUCCGGUGAAACUUUUGGACCGUGCGACUUUAUUGUUGUCACGGAAAGUCAGUUAAACCAUACUACUUAGAGGAAGGAGAAGUCGUAACA
rnacentral:rRNA from 1 species